UCAGUGCUGCCAGAAAGCUCAGUCUGGAAUUGAUUGCUUGAGUUCUCUCCCAGAGCACAGUUGAAGUGAUUGCUUUUUGAGAAAUUCUCGAAGGGAUUUGCUGACCAGGUGCCUACUGGGCUGCCUGUGUCCCUGGCUAAAGCAGAACCUGAAGAAGGAAGAUCCUGGGCUCAUCAAGUGGAAGGGUCUUUGGGGAGGAGAUCCAUUCUGAGAAAUUCAGUGCCAAGAGUUGAAAUUGUGAGCUUGGAAAAUAUGAUAAAGAGAAGGAGCUGGAAGGAACCAUGUGGACAUCCAAACUAAAAGGCCAGGUGCUGUGAACCUGGUGAGAAAGAAGAGACAUGUAGAGCAAUUAUCACAACACAGUACGGUCUGUGCCAUCAUCUUAAAGGUGGGCUGUCAGUGCUGGACCCUAGGAGGCUCCCUCCUGAUCCCUGACUGCAAAAGAGCUCAGCUUGGUGCAGAAGACAAUAUAUACCUCUAAGCCUUGGCGUCUUUCUCCCUCUGGUCUGACGGUGCUCAGUCCUGGCGAAAGGUGAAGAACUGGAGACAUAGAGGAUUGAAGAAGAGCAAGUCAUGAUCAAAAUCAAGUCUGAAACCUCUUUCUAUUGAUUGCCUUACCUGUCAGUAACUCAAUAAGCAACACUGCCUCUUUCAAAAAUCAAUGAACGGAAAUGCUAUGAGGAAACAAAUUGGGAGAAAUCUUCAUUCUUACACUGGAUGGAGUAGGAGAUGGAAUCUACAAAUGAGGAAGAGAUCCCCCAUGUUCCUAAAAAGACUGAUGUCAAGUGGGGAAGCUGAAUAUGCAUACGGUUAAUACAAUGGAACAAAGGCGGAUGAAGGAGGAGACAAUGUUGAGUUCAGGCUGCAUCUAGAAGUUACUGGACUCAAAUUCCAUAUGAGCACAUUGGGACUUUGACACCAAAGAGUCUUGCCUUUUCUCUCUCUCUCUUUUUUUUUUAAUUUAUGAUUGUUGAUGUAGUAGACCGGCAUUCUGAAUAAUUUAGAAAAUGUUAAAAGGCAGGACAAAUAUAAGUCAAGCUCACCACUCAGCAGCAACCUAUUAUUACAAUUUAGGCACAUUGCUUUCCAGAACUUUUUCUUUGCACCUUUUCCUUCAUAAUGGAGAUCAUAUUGCACCUAGGAUGUGAUGUUACUUUUUCCCUUCCCCCAUUUACCAUGUUGUUAAAAUGUUCUUCCUAAGCAUGACAUAUGACUAUCAUAGUCUAUCAUACGUCUGUACCACAACUCAUUAAUAAUUUGAUUUCUGCCGGACACUUGAGUUCUUCAAAUAUUUAAUAUUAUAAAAAUUAAAUUAGACUCCUAGAAAACUAAUUCCCAAUAAAGGCAGAAAUCAUUUUUACAGUUCUUGAUGCACCUUUCCAAACUGACCUCAUCUUAGUCCAUUUGGACUGCUGUAACAAAUUACCACAGCUUAUAAACAACAGAAAUUUAUUUCUAGCAGUCGUGGCGCCUGGGGAGUUCAACAUCAAGGCACCGGCAGGUUCGGUGUCUGGUGAGCGCCCACUUCCUGGCUCAUAGAUGGCUAUGUUUCUUCACUUGGCAGAAAGGGGUGAAGGAACUCUUUGGGGCCUUUUUUAUAAGGAUACACAGGCCUUUCAUGAGGGCUCCACCCUCAUGCCCUAACUGCCUCAAAGUCGCCACCUCCAAAUACCAUCACACUGGGGAUUAGGUUUUAACAUAUGAACAUUCAACAUAUAGGGGAAUGUUUAAUUGAAUUAUGGCACAUAUGCUCAAUGAACUUGUGAUGCAUGCAUUUUAAAAUAUAAUGAAAUCUUUGUGGAAAUAUGAGAAAAAGAUGUUAUUUAUGUUUAAAUAAAAUCAUAUAAAUAUGGUAUCAAUAUAUAUGCAGGAUGGAAAAGGUCAAAAGGAGAAAAGUUGCUUUUGUUGUGUAUAG